NNNNNNNNNNNNNNNNNNNNNNNNNNNNNNNNNNNNNNNNNNNNNNNNNNNNNNNNNNNNNNNNNNNNNNNNNGGCCCUCAAAAGCCAUCGCCUCCCCCCGACCCAGGUGGGACUCGAACCCACAAUCCCCAGCUCCGGAGGCUGAUGCCUUGUCCAUUAGGCCACUGGGCCGCUGCGUGGCGCUGCUGCCGCUGCCGCCUGCCUGUAUCACUGCGUCCCCGUGUCCCCAAGUCACUGUGUCUUCAUGUCACCGUGUCCCCGUGUCCCCGUGUCACCCUGUCACUGUGUCCUCGUGUCACCGCGUCCCCGUGUCACCCUGUCCCCGUGUCCCCAUGUCCCCAAGUCACUGUGUCACUGCGUCUUUAUGUCACCAUGUCCCCGUGUCCCCAUGUCACCCUGUCACCGUGUCAUCAUGUCCCCAUGUCCCUCUCUCACUGUGUCCCCAUGUCACCCUGUCACCAUGUCACCAUGUUCCCAUGUCCCUCUCUCACUGUGUCCCCAUGUCACUGCAUCCUCGUGUCACCCUGUCCUCGUGUCCCCGUGUCACUGUGUCACCCUGUCCUCAAGUCACUGUGUCCUCAUGUCACCCUGUCCCCAUGUCCCCAAGUCACUGUGUCACUGUGUCUUCAUGUCACCAUGUCCCCAUGUCCCCAUGUCACCCUGUCACCAUGUCCCCAUGUCCCCAAGUCACUGUGUCACUGUGUCUUCAUGUCACCAUGUCCCCGUGUCCCCAAGUCACCCUGUCACCGUGUCACCAUGUCCCCAUGUCCUUCUGUCCCUGUGUCCUCAUGUCACCGCGUCCCCGUGUCACCCUGUCCCCGUGUCCCCGUGUCACUAUGUCCCCAUGUCCCCAAGUCACUGUGUCACUGUGUCUUCAUGUCACCAUGUCCCCGUGUCCCCAAGUCACCCUGUCACCGUGUCACCGUGUCCCCAUGUCCUUCUGUCCCUCUGUCCUCAUGUCACUGUGUCCCCGUGUCCCCCUGUCCCCAUGUCCCCGUGUCACUAUGUCCCCAUGUCCCCAAGUCACUGUGUCCCUGUGUCUUCAUGUCCCCAUGUCCCCAUGUCCCCCUGUCACCGUGUCACCAUGUCCCCAUGUCCCUCUCUCACUGUGUCCCCAUGUCACCGCAUCCUCGUGUCCCCGUGUCACUGUGUCACCUUGUCCUCAAGUCACUGUGUCCUCAUGUCACCAUGUCCCCGUGUCCCCAAGUCACCCUGUCAGCGUGUCACCGUGUCCCCAUGUCCUUCUGUCACUCUGUCCUCAUGUCACUGUGUCCCCAAGUUACCCUGUCACCGUGUCACCAUGUCCCCAUGUCCUUCUGUCACUCUGUCCUCAUGUCACUGUGUCCCCAUGUCACCCUGUCCCCAUGUCCCUGUGUCACUGUCCCCAUGUCCCCAAGUCACUGUGUCACUGCAUCUUUAUGUCACCAUGUCCCCAUGUCCCCAAGUCACUGUCACUGUGUCUUCAUGUCACCAUGUCCCCGUGUCCCCAUGUCACCCUGUCACCGUGUCACCAUGUCCCCAUGUCCUUCUGCCCCUGUGUCCUCAUGUCACCGCGUCCCCGUGUCACCCUGUCCUCGUGUCCCCAUGUCACUGUGUCACUGUGUCCCCGUGUCACCCUGUUCCCAAGUCUCUGUGUCACCAUGUCACCGUGUCCCCAUGUCAGCAUGCCCCCAUGUCACCUUGUCCCCGUGUUCCCAUGUCACUGAGUCAUUGUGUCACCAUGUCACUCUGUUGCCA
ensembl:lncRNA